rnacentral:rRNA from 1 species
ACACUGCGGAUCGCAUGGUCUGCGGUUAAAAGCUCCGGCGGUGAAGGAUGAGCCCGCGGCCUAUCAGCUUGUUGGUGAGGUAAUGGCUCACCAAGGCGACGACGGGUAGCCGGCCUGAGAGGGCGACCGGCCACACUGGGACUGAGACACGGCCCAGACUCCUACGGGAGGCAGCAGUGGGGAAUAUUGCACAAUGGGCGAAAGCCUGAUGCAGCGACGCCGCGUGAGGGAUGACGGCCUUCGGGUUGUAAACCUCUUUCAGCAGGGAAGAAGCGAAAGUGACGGUACCUGCAGAAGAAGCGCCGGCUAACUACGUGCCAGCAGCCGCGGUAAUACGUAGGGCGCAAGCGUUGUCCGGAAUUAUUGGGCGUAAAGAGCUCGUAGGCGGCUUGUCACGUCGAUUGUGAAAGCCCGAGGCUUAACCUCGGGUCUGCAGUCGAUACGGGCUAGCUAGAGUGUGGUAGGGGAGAUCGGAAUUCCUGGUGUAGCGGUGAAAUGCGCAGAUAUCAGGAGGAACACCGGUGGCGAAGGCGGAUCUCUGGGCCAUUACUGACGCUGAGGAGCGAAAGCGUGGGGAGCGAACAGGAUUAGAUACCCUGGUAGUCCACGCCGUAAA